GAUGAACGCUGGCGGCGUGCUUAACACAUGCAAGUCGAACGAGAAGUGAAGACGGAAACCUUCGGGCGGAAGGCUUUAUUUCGAGUGGCGGACGGGUGAGUAACGCGUGGGUAACCUGCCUCAUACAGGGGGAUAACAGUUGGAAACGACUGGUAAUACCGCAUAAAACCACAGCACCGCAUGGUGCGGGGGUAAAAACUCCGGUGGUAUGAGAUGGACCCGCGUUCGAUUCGCCAGUUGGCGGGGUAACGGCCCACCAAAGCGACGAUCGAUAGCCGAUCUGAGAGGAUGACCGGCCACAUUGGGACUGAGACACGGCCCAAACUCCUACGGGAGGCAGCAGUGGGGAAUAUUGCACAAUGGGGGAAACCCUGACGCAGCGACGCCGCGUGAGUGAAGAAGUAUUUCGGUAUGUAAAGCUCUAUCAGCAGGGAAGAAAAUGACGGUACCUGAGUAAGAAGCCCCGGCUAACUACGUG
rnacentral:rRNA from 1 species